rnacentral:rRNA from 1 species
GACGAACGCUGGCGGCGUGCUUAACACAUGCAAGUCGAACGGAAAGGCCCUGCUUUUGUGGGGUGCUCGAGUGGCGAACGGGUGAGUAACACGUGAGUAACCUGCCCUUGACUUUGGGAUAACUUCAGGAAACUGGGGCUAAUACCGGAUAGGAGCUCCUGCUGCAUGGUGGGGGUUGGAAAGUUUCGGCGGUUGGGGAUGGACUUGCGGCUUAUCAGCUUGUUGGUGGGGUAGUGGCUUACCAAGGCUUUGACGGGUAGCCGGCCUGAGAGGGUGACCGGCCACAUUGGGACUGAGAUACGGCCCAGACUCCUACGGGGGGCAGCAGUGGGGAGUAUUACACAAUGGGCGGAAGCCUGAUGCAGCAACGCCGCGUGCGGGAUGACGGCCUUCGGGUUGUAAACCGCUUUCGCCUGUGACGAAGCGUGAGUGACGGUAAUGGGUAAAGAAGCACCGGCUAACUACGUG